CUUUGAUAGAUUUUAUUUUUUCAGUUUCACUUCCUUUGGAGUCUUCUUCAAGGAAGAACAAUGGGGAAGACUGACAUUCCAUGGAGGAAUAAAGCUAUGACUUUGGAUUUGUUUGCACAACUUUCUAAUCUACUAAGCAAAAAGGCUGCAUUUAAGUCCAAUGCAAACACUUUGUCCUUGCAUACCCCAGCCCCCACUGCAGGAGAGAAAAUUGUGCUGGUGUGUUUCAAGGCUGAAAGCAAAGGAAGGAAACCUUACGCCAAGAAAAGAGGGAAUUUAUCUGAAAGAUAUGAAAAUAUGAAGGCUCUUAAUACUUCCUGUGAAGCGCCCUGUGGAGUGGUUGUGGACAUUUCUAUUCUUGAUUAUGCACCUUACCCUACUAAUUUUACUCUGACUUCACAAAAUUAGAGAAUUAUAUUUUUCUCAUUGGC
rnacentral:lncRNA from 1 species